CCUACGGGUGGCAGCAGUAGGGAAUAUUGCACAAUGGGGGAAACCCUGAAGCAGCAACGCCGCGUGGAGGAUGAAGGUUUUCGGAUUGUAAACUCCUUUCGUUAGGGAAGAUAAUGACGGUAUCUAACGAAUAAGCACCGGCUAACUACGUGCCAGCAGCCGCGGUAAUACGGAGGGUGCAAGCGUUACUCGGAAUCACUGGGCGUAAAGCGCGCGUAGGCGGGAGAGCAAGUCUGAUGUGAAAUCCUAUGGCUUAACCAUAGAACUGCAUUUGAAACUGUUAUUCUAGAGUAUGGGAGAGGUAAGUGGAAUUCUUGGUGUAGGGGUAAAAUCCGUAGAGAUUAAGAGGAAUACUCAUUGCGAAGGCGACCUGCUAGAAUAUAACUGACGUUGAUGCGCGAAAGCGUGGGGAGCAAACAGGAUUAGGUACCCUAGUAGUC
rnacentral:rRNA from 1 species